AGCGAACGCUGGCGGCAGGCCUAACACAUGCAAGUCGAACGAACCUUUCGGGGUUAGUGGCGGACGGGUGAGUAACACGUGGGAACGUGCCUUUAGGUUCGGAAUAACUCAGGGAAACUUGUGCUAAUACCGAAUGUGCCCUUCGGGGGAAAGAUUUAUCGCCUUUAGAGCGGCCCGGGUCUGAUUAGCUGGUUGGUUGAGGUAAUGGCUCACCAAGGCGACGAUCAGUAGCUGGGCGGAGAGGAUGAUCAGCCACAUUGGGACUGAGACACGGCCCAAACUCCUACGGGAGGCAGCAGUGGGGAAUCUUGCGCAAUGGGCGAAAGCCUGACGCAGCCAUGCCGCGUGAAUGAUGAAGGUCUUAGGAUUGUAAAAUUCUUUCACCGGGGACGAUAAUGACGGUACCCGGAGAAGAAGCCCCGGCUAACUUCGUG
rnacentral:rRNA from 1 species